UGGGAGUUGAAGUCCACAAGUCUUAAAAGAGCCAAGUUUGCAGACCCCUGCCCUAGAGGUUCCAGUUUAAUAGCAAACUUGAAUGUCUGGUUGGUUCUGAUGGUUAGAAUACAGGUAACCCACAACUGAGGCCCGACACUUCCGUUGCUAAGCGAGACCGUUCUUAAGUGAGCUUUGCCUCAUUCUACGACCUGCCUUUCUUUCCCAUUAUUCAGCGCAUCGCUGCAGCCGUUCACUUAGUAGCACGGACGCAAAGUGAAUCUGCUUUCCAAACCCCUCCCCCACCCCCUCACUCGUCUUGGCUGGUCCGAAGGUCGCAAAUGGAGAUCAAGUGACACUGAAACCGUCAUAAGUUCGAGCCGGUUGCCCAGCAAAUCUGAAUUUUGAUCACGUGACCCCUGGGGGAUGCAGCUAAUGGUUGCGGGCGUGAAAACCGGGUCACGUCGCUUUUCUCAGCGUCGUCGUAACUUUGAACGGUCACUAAACAAAUGAUUGUUAAGGCAAGGGCUACCUGUGAGAUAUUGUUAAGAAAAGGAAGGUAAAAUCUAUCGGCCCUUUUUUCGACACCAGGGAUUUUAGGUUUCUUUAAUUAAUUCCGACACGAAGAAUAAUCCCCGUGGGGCCCUUAAGCCGGUGGUUCCCAAAACUUGGAAAAUCCCCCCCCCACCUCAAAAUGCAAUAAAAGUGGUGUCACCUGACACCCCCUCCUCCCCCAACAUCCUCCUUGGGCUAGGAAGGAAGGCAAGGAAAAUAAAUAGAAAGACUCCCAAGUCCCGAAAGAAAUUCAGUUACGCUUCCUGUUCGACUAAAAAGCUUGGUUCCCGAAGAUGGGACGUGCGUGCGUUCGUUGAAGGUUGAUUCCUUCGGCUGUGGGAUCCAAGGGUUGGCGCCGAAUGCGAAGCAGUCCAGGGAUCUCGGAGGGAUCCCAGAUUUUUGGGGGGGCCGAUUCAUUUGGAGAAAAACAGGAGGAGUUUGGGAAUUGCAGGUAAUACUCAGCUUGGGGUUUUCAAGUCCAUGAGGCUUAAAAAGUUUCAAGGGUGGAGACCCCUGGUCUAAGUUCUCCUGCUUGAGCUGGGGUUGGAGACCCCUGGACUAGAAGACCUUCAAGUGCCCUUCCAACUCUGCUAAUUCUGUUUCCAGCCUGGGGUAAGAACCAAGUUGAUGGAUGUUGAACGGCUCUUUUCUUUCUUCUUCGUAUUUCUGUCUUUACUUCCUCGAAGCACCCCAAGAAUUUUUGGGUUCUUUUUUUGUUUGUUUGUUUUUUGGGUGGGUCGAGGGGCGGAUGGAACGAAGCCAGCCCUUGUUGUGACUCCAGCCCCCAAAUCUGGCCCCAUGCCCGAAAGUGACUCCGAGAGUGAGGGGGAAGGGCCGGUAAGGCUUACCUCUGGAGCACCGAUUCCUUUGCCUCGGCUCCAGGAGCCAGAACCAGACCAGCCGGAGGACGUAAUGAGGCCGUCAUCCCCUGAUUCCUCCCUUCCCCAGGCUACGCCUUCAGACCCAGCUGAUAAUAAUAAUCAAGCUUGGCUUGACCCGCGCUUCAGAAGAUUAGAGAGGCGGCGUCAUCAAAAGGAAGGGUGGCGCAGGAGCCCCACCCCACAGGAUAUAUAAGGAGCUUUGGGACUGCUCUCACUCCACGGGAAGCAAAAGUUUAGCUGAACUGUUUCAAAAAGAGCUGAAAGUCUUGCUACGUGAGUCAUUUGUUUGAACUAUGGCAGGCAGCUGCAAUUUCUCUGCCAGGACUGAUAAGAGCCGUGAAUCCACUGGCUGAAGGCCAGUUCGGGGGUCUGAAGUGGGGAAGGAGACAGAACAGCCCUAUUUGACCCUGUGCCAGUUGUGUUUGUCCACAUCUGCAGAGAUUCCACCUGCAGGUUCUAUCGGACGAGUAAGCCGAUAAAAGAGUUUCCCAAAAUAAACGAAUGGCAUGCCUGA